rnacentral:tRNA from 1 species
UCUAAUAUGGCAGAUUAGUGCAUUGAAUUUAAGCUUCAAAUAUAAACCCAGUUUUGUUAGAA